GUAUUACCGAUUUUUCAAUUAAAAUAAAUUUGCAUUAGGGAAGACACGUGUUGUGUGUAUAAUUCUUCAAAAGUAAAUUCAUUUGAAUCGUUAAAAGUUUAUUUAUAAAUUAAAAAAGUAAUAUUUUUCGAGGAGCUGAAUUAAAAUAAAUAUUUCAUUGGCUAAUUCAUCGUGUUAUACAUAUGUAUAUUCUACAGUCGAAUCUUAAUAACUCGAAUCUCAAGGGAAGAACUACAACCCUCGAGUUAUAGAGGUUUCGAUUUAUCGAGUUUUAAAAAUUCGAUAUACAGAAGCUAUGUAAGGAGGUUAAGAAUUUUCCAGAAUCAUCCGCUUAAAUAAAAAUAAUUAAAUAAUUUUAAGAGGCAAUGGCCAUAGAGGUACAGAAGCAAACUUCGAUUUAUAGAGGUCAGACUAUUCCAAUCUGACAAUGAGUCACAGAGGUUUUUGCAAUGAAGUGGAAAAGAAGUGAGAAAAGUUUUAGUUUUUCGAGUAAUAGAGGUCCGAGUUAUGGAGAUUUGACUUUGCAUGUAUGUCAACCAUGGCGCUUAAGUGCGCGGUACAAAAAUGGCGUCAAAUUCAAACUCCAUAUUUUGGUGCUUUGAUGUUGGGAUUUGUAAUGAAACAUUUUUACAGGAAUAUUCAUACAAUUUUUAACGGAUGUUAUAAUUAAAGUAGAAGUACAUGACUUAGGACGUUUAAAGUGCAUGAUAUUUAGUCAAACUUCUACCAAAGUGCAAUGCUACAUUAUAAAAUUUACAACUUCUUUAUUUUACGAGUACAAUGGGUACUUUUUACAUGAAAAGUAAAAUAAAACGUUUAAUAAUAAGACAGUAAGACAGAAUGUAGAAUAAUAAGGCAACAGUAUUGUGGAGAAGUAAAAUAGUGAAUUUAUAGUAUGGUUAUGUAGUAGAAUUAGUGAAAUAGUACGUGUUAUAAAAGUUUGGUAUUCAAAUGGAUGCGCAGUCUGUUGCCCAUGCGCAAGCGCGUGCAUGUACUGUGCUGCCUUCAAGCGUUAAAUCUUCAAAAGACUGUUACGAAAAUUUGAAUUAUCACUUAUUUAUUUCUAAAAAUCUAAGAA